rnacentral:rRNA from 1 species
UUUAUGGAGAGUUUGAUCCUGGCUCAGAGUGAACGCUGGCGGCGUGCCUAAUACAUGCAAGUCGAACGAUGAAGCUUCUAGCUUGCUAGAGUGCUGAUUAGUGGCGCACGGGUGAGUAACGCAUAGGUCAUGUGCCUCUUAGUUUGGGAUAGCCAUUGGAAACGAUGAUUAAUACCAGAUACUCCCUACGGGGGAAAGAUUUAUCGCUAAGAGAUCAGCCUAUGUCCUAUCAGCUUGUUGGUAAGGUAAUGGCUUACCAAGGCUAUGACGGGUAUCCGGCCUGAGAGGGUGAACGGACACACUGGAACUGAGACACGGUCCAGACUCCUACGGGAGGCAGCAGUAGGGAAUAUUGCUCAAUGGGGGAAACCCUGAAGCAGCAACGCCGCGUGGAGGAUGAAGGUUUUAGGAUUGUAAACUCCUUUUGUUAGAGAAGAUAAUGACGGUAUCUAACGAAUAAGCACCGGCUAACUCCGUGCCAGCAGCCCGGUAAUACGGAGGGUGCAAGCGUUACUCGGAAUCACUGGGCGUAAAGAGCGCGUAGGCGGGAUAGUCAGUCAGGUGUGAAAUCCUAUGGCUUAACCAUAGAACUGCAUUUGAAACUACUAUUCUAGAGUGUGGGAGAGGUAGGUGGAAUUCUUGGUGUAGGGGUAAAAUCCGUAGAGAUCAAGAGGAAUACUCAUUGCGAAGGCGACCUGCUGGAACAUUACUGACGCUGAUUGCGCGAAAGCGUGGGGAGCAAACAGGAUUAGAUACCCUGGUAGUCCACGCCCUAAACGAUGGAUGCUAGUUGUUGGAGGGCUUAGUCUCUCCAGUAAUGCAGCUAACGCAUUAAGCAUCCCGCCUGGGGAGUACGGUCGCAAGAUUAAAACUCAAAGGAAUAGACGGGGACCCGCACAAGCGGUGGAGCAUGUGGUUUAAUUCGAAGAUACACGAAGAACCUUACCUAGGCUUGACAUUGAGAGAAUCCGCUAGAAAUAGUGGAGUGUCUGGCUUGCCAGACCUUGAAAACAGGUGCUGCACGGCUGUCGUCAGCUCGUGUCGUGAGAUGUUGGGUUAAGUCCCGCAACGAGCGCAACCCCCUUUCUUAGUUGCUAACAGGUUAUGCUGAGAACUCUAAGGAUACUGCCUCCGUAAGGAGGAGGAAGGUGGGGACGACGUCAAGUCAUCAUGGCCCUUACGCCUAGGGCUACACACGUGCUACAAUGGGGUGUACAAAGAGAAGCAAUACUGCGAAGUGGAGCCAAUCUUCAAAACACCUCUCAGUUCGGAUUGUAGGCUGCAACUCGCCUGCAUGAAGCUGGAAUCGCUAGUAAUCGCAAAUCAGCCAUGUUGCGGUGAAUACGUUCCCGGGUCUUGUACUCACCGCCCGUCACACCAUGGGAGUUGUGUUUGCCUUAAGUCAGGAUGCUAAAUUAGCUACUGCCCACGGCACACACAGCGACUGGGGUGAAGUCGUAACAAGGUAACCGUAGGUGAACCUGCGGUUGGAUCACCUCCU